GGCUGUAGCUCAGUGGAUAGAGUAUUGGCCUCCGAAGCCAAGGGUCGUGGGUUCGAUCCCCGCCAGCCGCA
rnacentral:tRNA from 1 species